rnacentral:rRNA from 1 species
CGCUGAAAGAUGGACUCGCGUCCCAUUAGCUAGUUGGUAGGGUAAUGGCCUACCAAGGCGACGAUGGGUAGCCGGCCUGAGAGGGUGGCCGGCCACACUGGGACUGAGACACGGCCCAGACUCCUACGGGAGGCAGCAGUGGGGAAUUUUGCGCAAUGCUCGUAAGAGUGACGCAGCGACGCCGCGUGAAUGACGAAGGCCUUCGGGUCGUAAAGUUCUUUCGACAGGGAAGAAAAUGCCUAUAAGUAACUGUGUAUGUAUUGACGGUACCUGUAUAAGCAGCCCCGGCUAACUCCGUGCCAGCAGCCGCGGUAAUACGGAGGGGGCGAGCGUUGCUCGGAGUGACUGGGCGUAAAGAGCACGUAGGCGGUGUUGUAAGUCAUUAGUCAAAGACUAGAGCUCAACUUUAGUAAGGCUAGUGAUACUAUAAUACUAGAGUAUCAGAGAGGAUUGCAGAAUUCCUGGUGUAGCGGUGAAAUGCGUAGAUAUCAGGAGGAAUACCGUUAGCGAAGGCGGCAAUCUGGCUGGAAACUGACGCUGAGGUGCGAAAGCGUGGGUAGCAAACAGGAUUAGAUACCCUGGUAGUCCACGCUGUAAACGAUGGAUGCUAG